rnacentral:lncRNA from 1 species
CGUGCAGUAAGUAAUAUGCAGAGUGCAUCCAAUAUUUUCUACGUACAUUUACUCACGUAACCAGGCAAUACCUUAAAGUAAGUGGGUGUGCCGUUCCUGCAUCUCCACCAAUCACACAACUUUGGUUUCUAUAAAUUGAUAUUAGUACAUUUUCUUUACUUGGUCUACCAUCUAUGGUUAUCAUCUGCAGAUGGUUUUGACAACAAGCUUCUUCAUAGCGCUACUCUUUUCACCAAAGAAAUCCCAGUUGGAUCACCACCCCACUCUUCAAACACAACCAACAAGUUUCCUGUAGGGUUCAGCCAGUCGCGAGGAACAUGAUACCUGAGAUUUGUGUUCAGUAAUCAGUCAUUUAUUCGAUUCUUUUGCAAGCUUUGACUGAAGUGGACAAAAAGGUAGGUAGGUGUUUCAUUACCAUUUUUGAGAAGGCUCCCCACAGUCAGUCUGACAUUUCAUCUUUCUGUAUGUCCCUUUGUAAUCACACAAAUCACAAACCCCAUUUGCCUUAUAGGCAGGCCAGUGUCUGCCAAUGCUUUGUCCAUUGAUCCAUAUCUGACCUUUGCCCAUGCUACUCAUGUCUAAUGCCAAUGGCUCGUUCCCAGCUGGAGCAUCAAAGAAAGCCUGGAAGAUGACAAAGAAUGAGUGAGAAAAUAGUCUCAUGCAUGAGAGGAAAGAAGAUGAACUUUAGGAUAACAUGUUUCUGUGUUGCAACCAGUACUCCUGACCUUGUACCAAGUCAAGGGCUGUCUUGUAGAUGCACCCCCCCACUUAACUGAAGAACUGCCACUAAGUGUAUAGAUGCUCAGGGAUUCACCUCUAAGGCCGAUCUACACACACAAACAUGGAACUCAGUAACCAGUAAGCAAGUUUUAGUCAGAGAGUAAGCAGGUAGGAAGAGUUGAUUGGAACCUGGUAAAUCCAUUUCUGUGAUGAAAGGUUUCUCUUUCCUUCAUUGAGACCUUCCAGGGUCACUGGACCAAGAACACCAGCAUUCCAUGUGUCAAAGUGGGGGCCAAUAUUCUGAAACAGAUAAAGAACAGGAAUACGGAGUCUAAACAUCCAUCUUGUGUGUGUAUAAGUGUAUAGGGUUAUUGGUAUGAUAUUUCAACAUUUGGAUCAAUAGCCAGGAAUUAUUUCACAAUAAAGAAUGUACUCACAGGAAGACCAACAGCGACACUCAGAAUCGAGAUUUUGUUGCUUCCUGCCCGCAACUUCACAUUUCCUGUGAAUCUUACCUUUGGACUGCCAAAUCUACCGUAGAAAGUCCCUGCCGGAAGAAAAGAAAAGCAAAAAACAAAUCGGAACCUCACCAAAAGUUGAGCAUAUCAUCAAGACACAAUUCUUCACAAGGCAAAGCCACUCACCGGCCCGUUCUCCAUUGACGAAAACAUGCAUAGAAUGACCUGCCGACAUCACGGUCAGUAGAGGGUCUCGGCCAUUCUUCAAGAAUUGUUCGUUUGAGUCUAUGUUAACACUGAAGAGUGGAGAUCGUGAGUCAUCGAGUGAUAGAGGUCAUUGAUUCUGUCUCAAACAGACAAGCUGCAAAGGAACGUCUACUCACUCUGUUGUGUACCACAGGUAGUCUGUCCGAUCCCGCGUCAUGCUUAUCUGCUCCACCAAUCCAUCUUUUGAGAAUGAUUUAUCCCUCAGUAGUGAGUGGGUAUCCUCACCGUAGGACUCCCAAGAAAAUCCCCCAACCCGAGUCAUAUUAAUCUGCGACGUCGGAGCUCCUACCUGUGUUUAUCAUUAGCAUCUUUCUGUUUAAGACAUUCAUGAAAAUUCAACCAUGGAAGUCCUUUUCCAUCCAAGAAAAUUUGGAAUACAUAGUGAGAGAUACAUUUUCUUGAGCCAAGAAACAAAUAACUCAACGGAGAGGUGAGUUUUAUGAGUACAGUAAUAGAAUACAAUCAUGAACAUUAAUCAUAAAAGAUUUCUCACCUUUGCAGUGUUGAACACUGCGGUUUUGCAGUCUGGAAGAAUGCUGGUGGACCAAGCUGGAAUAUGAUACUCCAUUCCGUUGAAAGUAACUUUUGCAGAAGAAAGACGGUUGAAAUUAGAAAGGAAUGCAGCACAAGCUCCUGACUUCGAUCUGUAUACAUGCGCCUGCAACAAGUCGAAUGUAGAAAAGUUCCAAAAUGCAAAUCAUCGAAAAGAUUCUUGCAAAUUUUACAGCAAGAUAUAAGAAUUUAACCGUCUGAUAUUUUCCGACGUUUGUCACUGUAGGAUCCCCAGAGACGAGAGCUGGUUCACACGAUUUGAUUGCUUUAUGCAGGUCUCUCAGAUGUCCCCAUUUCGGUUGCCUUAACAGACCUGAGAAAGAUUACGAUACGUUUAACACCAAAUAGAGGGAAUGGUAAUAGUCGGCAUCAAAUAGAUUUGUAUUGCAUCAUCAGAUGCUUGACCAAUGAGACUGCACAGUGUCUUCUUCGUAGAAGAGGAACAAGAUUUUAGCACCAAAAAGAAGACAUAGGAAAAGGAUAAGCAAACUGAGUGGGAACUGUAUUACCACUAAUCUUCUUCUCUUAAUCUUGAAAGAACCCAAGUAUUUGACCUAAAUAAUUCUCUAGGUGGGAAAUCACACGUUUACCCCCACGCAGGAGAAAAGAUCAAGCAUUUCUUUCUAAAAGCUGGAUGAGACGAUCCAAAAUCACAUCUUUUUGGAAUUAUCACAAGCAAUGCUGUGUGUGGUAGAUGAUCAAGCCAACCAUUCUUGCACUUUUCUUCCCCCGUCAAAAGCAUGAGCUCCAACAGGGGCGAAUCCAUGAGAAGUCAUAAGUUAAACUAAAACCAUACCAUUGCAACAUGAAAAUUGUUACAUAUGUUAGAAUCUUGGAAGAACAAUGGCGUACCGUAUUCAUCGAUUGGGGCAUCAUAGUCAUAGGUCGUCGCAAUAAAGGGACCACCAGCCGUCCUACCGAAGUUUGUUCCUCCAUGGUACUGCAGUUGACGUAAACAUGAAGAUUCUUUUACUUCGAUAUGAUGUAGUACAGCGUUAAGUAAUUACUGAAACAACUCAAGUAGAACAUACAAAUUCUUACCAUAUAGUAGUUAACGAAGGAUCCACCCUUCUGUAUAAACCUUGCAACGGCAAAAGCCAAGUCCUCAACAGGUCUGUGAGGAACUGGAGCCCCGAAAGCACUGAACCUAUUGAGAUAGAAUAUAUAAAAUAAAUUCACUAGAUCGAUUGAUUUCUUGUGAAAAUUUAUAUGAAUUCAAAUGUGAAGAAGUAGAGGUUACCAGCCACUCCAAGCUUCAGUCCACAUAGUCGGUUUAUACGGCUUGUUUGGUGAGAAGUAAUCACAGUAGAACCCGUUGCAGGCAUUGAUCUGUAAAGACAAAAAUCCAAAAAUGAGGUCACAAUAUGUCAACCUAGCUGGUGCAACAUGCAAUUACAAAUCCUCUAAUUAGUGCAGCUGGAAUCUAAGUAGAAGAAAGUGAUGUUGAACGGGACAAGGUCGAGAAGGAACAUGAACUUGGGGUUCUUCCUGAUGUUACAGAACAUGAAAACCGAAGCUUGGACUUACCACUGGAUCAGGUGCAUCAUCUUGUUUGCACAUGACCCACGGCACACUGGUGUUGAGGCCCACUGCCAUUUGAGCAGCCCAGUUUACGUAGUUCUUGGCUCCAUCUCCGCCAAAGUUCUCCAUUGGACCAUAUUCAUUUUCAAUCUGCUCAAGUUAGACAAAGAGCAUGGAAGAACAGAAAGCGAAUUAGAUGAGAUCUUUGGGAGCUGAUCAACUCGAUGACACAUAAAAGCUAACGAAUUGAUGAAAGCAAAGAAGGAAUGGAUUCGAUGAUACCUGAGAGAGGAUAAUGGGACCACCCUGUGAUUCAAAUAAUCCUUCAGAUUUCAUCAUGGCGACAAUCUUCUCUGUGAACUUCGCCAUGGCCGCCUUUUACAUGAACAGACCAAUUAGCAAUUGCUCGGUUAGAGGAGUUCGAGUAUACACAUGUAAAGAGAAUUUCUUGUGGAUUCUUACCUUGAAAGGUUCAUUGUCGGUCCUGAAAGUGAUGCCAGGAACAUACUUUAGCCAGACAGGAAAUCCCCUGUUUUACAAAGACAAGACGAACAACAGAACAACGUCAUCAGAUUGCAUGAUUAGGCUUUUGAUUCCACAUAGAAGAAUUAAUCGAAGACCUCGUACCCAAAAUUCCAUUCGGCACAAACAUAAGGGCCAAUCCGGAGAUGAACAUAGAGGCCGGCCUGCUUCACCAGCUUGAUGAAGCGAACCAGGUCGUAAUUACCACCAAAAUAAUACUGCCAAAGAUCAAGAAAAGCAACAAAAAAAUGAGGGACACUGUGGGAAGGAGCAGUUGCCUCAGACGAGAGGGCUGGGAAAGGUUGGGUGAUCUCCGAACCUGGCCAGGGGACGGCUCGUGGCCGUUCCAGAACACGUAGGUCUGGAUAACAUCCAAGCCGCCAUCUUUAGCCUUCUGGAUAAGAUCCGGCCACAUCUGGAGACGAUCCAAUCGACAAAGUUCAGAUUUUGGCGCGGUAGAGUAACAGUGCACUAACAGCUCGCCUGAAAGGCCACGUUUCCCACAGAGUUGGAGACCUUACCUCCGGGGUGCUCCUGGGAUAGUGAAUGGAACCGGAGAUUAGAAUUCUCCUCUGCCCAUUGACGAUGAUAGCCUUGUGGUCGUAGGAAACGGAGGCAUCGACCGGAGAGGAAAGCCACGGUGACGACACCACCAUGAACGCCACCGCCAGUAGCAGCAGCGUCGACAGUCCGCGGCCGCACCCAAGCGUCAUAAGCUCGAGGCUCAUUGUGGCCGGUCGGUCUUAGCUUCAGAGUAGUCUCCUUUAGUGUUCUGGCUGUAUAAUAUGUGAAUGAUGGAGAUUCGUGCGAGCUGUUCUUCCUUCUUCUCCUCCGAUAGAGAAGUUCUGAUGGAACUAUUGAGCAGUAGCGUUACUGCCACAAGCACACACCGAGGAAGAGAGAGGGAGGAGGAGGGAGGGAAGAGAGCGGACGUGGAGAGGGAGCGGGGCGUGCCUGUGCGGUUUAAAUACCCUGCGGGCGCAAGCGAGCACUGGAUUGCAUCUGCUUACCUCAGACUUCAAACGUGGUCAAAAUAUACCAAAGAGAUGGCGGAUUACCAAUAAUUUGAUUCAACUAAGUGAUAUAUAUAUAUAUAUAUAUAUAUAUAUAUAUAUAUAUAUAUAGAAAAACAAGAUUCAUAAAAAUUAUUAAUUUUUAGAUAUAUUUGGAUAUAUUUGAUUAUGUUUAUAUUUGGAUAUAUUUGUAUUUAAUAUUAUUUAUAAAUUUUAAUUUUCUUUAUUAGUUUCAAUAAUAAUUUUAUUUUCUAAAUAUAAUUAAUUAAUUAGAAUAAUAUAGUAAACUUGAGGGUUCCUUAUCUUUGAUGGGGAUUCAUCUUCCCGCCACCCUGUGUCAAUAGAGAAUGGGUUGGGGGAUAAAAUAGAAAAAUACUAUUCAUAUUAUUUUGUUUAUUGAUAUCUCUAUAUUGGAGUGGUGAUAAUAUUUUUAUUUUAUUGAAUAACUAAUUUUUUAUGUUCUUAGGUUGAGAACCUUUUUUUUAUUAUUAUUCCUUUCGAAAGUAUUAUGUUCGAUUGUUAAUGGUUCAUAGGAUAGCUAAUAGAAUCAUAUAUACUUUUAGAGUUUAUCAUCAAAUUUGUGCCCCUUUUAUGGUAUUUAAAUUCUAAUAUAAUUUCAAUUCCUUGGGUCAAUUAAGAGAAUCUUUGAUAAUUGGUAAGGGUUGAAAGAGUCAAAAUCGUUUUAAAAUUAUUAUUUAAGAAAAUUAGGAUAAAUAAGUUAUGUGAAAUAAUAUUAGAAACUAGCAAUACUAGUUUAUUUUUGUAAGAAAGUUUCAUGUUGAUGAUAUUUUUUAGUUGUCUAAUAUAUCGAUAUACAUCGUGAUAGUAAGCGGGUUUGAUAACUUAUCCAUGAUAUAAAUUUAUUUUUACAAAGUUAUGGAUACAUGAUAUAUCUAAAGGGUUUGAUGAGAUAUAUCAUAUUAUUAUUUUAUUAUGUGAAUAACAAUUUUUUUUAUACGUUAAUUUAGUUUCACAUAAGAAAUGGAUAAAGAGUUAGAUAAGAGUAUGAUAAUUGUACUAUUCUUAGUUUAAACAAUAGUUCGACCCAAGUUAAUGGGUGUGGGAACUAACUCAAAUUACAGUCAAACUUGGGCUCGAGUCAAGUCAACCAGAGCUGACUUGAAUCCUCACUGAACGGAAUGAAGCCAAUGCCCCCGCCAAUGCCCGCGUCCGCGUCAGCGUCGCCGCCCGCGAUCCUCACCGUGCUCCUCAUCGCGGCGCGCGCUGUCACCCGCACCCUCGCCUAUGUCACCCGCGAUCCUCACCGCCGCCUGCGUUGAUCACCCGUGCCCAACUGCCAGCAUCCUCGUCGCCUCCCUCGACCGUUUCUCACCGCGGUUGAUUGGGUGUCGCAGCACUUCCCUUGUCGCGGGCGUAACGCACGGCGAUGAGGAACAGUCGAGGGAGGUGAGGAGCCACACAACCAUCUUCCUCUUCGUUCGCGGGCGUGACUCGUUGCCUUCCCUCGCUCCUGUAAUUGGAGCUUCGAGGAAGAGUAGAGGAAGGCAGUGAUGAAUACAUGAGAGAUCACUCACUUCUCCGGCCCAAAUCCGACCAAAACUUCCAUCCUCGUCUUCGACAUCAAAGUUUCUUCUCCGACGUGCCUUCCGGUCGCCAUUCUCCACCGCUGACCGGCCAUUGUGCUCGUUGCAGCAGCCGCAGAGAAUAGAGGAAGAAGAGUAAGUUGACUGCAGUUGACUACGGUCAACACUGCGCAUCAACUUUUGGUCAAAAUGGCUAAUUUUAAAAUUUUAUCAUAAUUGCUACUUCUUAUUUUUGUUAUGACUCCACAAUAUCUCUGUAUGAUUCAAGUUUUAUUGAGAUUUUUUUUUUCUCUCGAGGAAGUAGGAAUGAUAUAUAUAUAGUAAUUCUGCUAAAUUAUUUAUUAUUGUUUUGUGUCAUUGUCGUUCGAUUUUUUCAUCGAUUUUAUCUAUAUCUUUUAAUUCUAUAAAUACUAAUCAAUAGUACGAGGUACACGAUAAAAAAAAAUUAUUUAUGGACCGCUUAUCUUAACAAAAAAGUAACUUUAAAACAUUAUAUUCGAAAAAGAAAAAAUAACAGACAUGAGAAAGCACAAACUAAUCAGAGUGUCACAAUAACCAUAUUCAUGAGUAUAUUCAAUAAUGUACUUUGGGAGGUUAUUAUAGAACAAAUAAUAGCAGAAGUUUAGACCAUUGAUAGUGGUACAUCAAGACAAAAGUCUUGUAGGUAAGAUUACCCUUAAGUAGAGGUUGUACCUAUUAUAAAUAACAAAAUGAAUCUCAAUGAACUAGCACAUUGAUGUUUUCCGAAUCAUAAUCAUGGAUUCGAAGAAUAUGAGCAUCACUAUUGAAAAAAACUUUAUUAUUAUUAUUAUGUUAUCUUCCUAUUUUAUAUAAAUUUUUUUACAGAAUAAUCUUAUAUGAAAAUAGUAUUAUUUCUCUAAACAUUAUUAGUUUAACCUUAGUGCGGAAAGAAGUUAUGUACCCGUGUUUAACAACCUAAACCUCCAAAAGUUACUAUGAUACUUUGAACCUGAAAGGAGGAAAUAAGUCUAUAAAAGGAGAUAGAAAUAAAUUAAGAUCAAAGAAUAUUUAAUACUAUUACUAUUAUGAUUGAGUCGGCACUAAAGGGGGGUGAAUUAGUGAUUUCGUUAAAAAUGUCAGUUUUGAAACUUUAUAGGAUUAAAACCGAUAUCCAAAAGAUGUUAACUUGAAAGCGUCGAAAACAUAGUGAAUAUAUUUGUAAUGAAAGUAAAGAGCUUAAAGUAAAUAAAUUAUUUUAUAGUGGUUCGAUCGUUGUGACUUACAUCCACUCCUGAUUCUUCUUCCAUCGAGGCUACUGACAUCCACUAAUGGUCUUCCUUCAAUGGGCGAAGACCAACUACCCUUACAACUCUAUUCUCCUCACUUACUCUCUCACUUACUCCUCUGUUAAACAGAAAUUAAUACGUAGACUAGAGGAGGAGAACUCUCAUAAGAUUACAACAGAAUUUUCACUUGUUUUUGUUUUUAGUUCUUGUAUUAUCUGAGUAGGGAUGAGAGGGGUAUUUAUAGGCUCCAAAUGGAUUCAAACUUAAAGCCUAAAAGUGUCCCAUCCUAGGUUUUCGGAGUACUGGUGGUACCACCACCUGUGCUAGGCAGUAUUAUCGCCUACUGACACUAGGCGGUACCAUUGCCUGACAUAAUUUGGGAGAUUAUGUCUGGGCGAUACUAUCGCCAGUCUGAUGGUAUUACCGCUUGACACAAUUUUAGAGACAAUCUCCAAGAUUGAUCCACUAGUGGUGUCACUGCUUGACCUAACUUUUGGGUCACUAAAUAGGCUUUUCUCUUGGCCCAAAACAACCUGGCCCAGGUGGCUCUUAAUUGAGUUGGCACGUUCUAAACCAACCCAAUUACAAUUAAAACUACUUCGAUCUAGAUAAAUUAUUACAAGCAAUAAUACAAAGUUGUCUAGCAUGUCAUUGGUUCAUCCAGUGCUUCAUCUGAUCCUUUGGCGCAUCGUCCUUUCCUUCGGCGUAUUGCCCAAUCAACAUGUUACCUUCUCGUAAUAUCCGAUCUCCUUGGGUAAUGUCCGAUUUUCUUGGCUCGAUACCUGAACUCACGACACGAAGUCUUCUGCCAACAAUAAUCCUCCGGCUCGAUAUUCAAUCUUCUAACAUGUUCAACUCCAGCCCAACAUUCGAUCAAUUUGUCUCUCUUGAUCGAAAUUAGUCUUGCGUCACUCAAAACGUAGAUUAGAUCAUAGCAUUAUCAAUUGAUUUCAUCAUCAAAAUCUGAUAUUCAACGAUUACUAUAUAUCAAAGCAGAGUUAAAAAAAAAAUAGUUAGAAUAGGUUAUAAAAAAUUUAUUGAAGUCUUAUACAUAUAUUAAAAAAAGUUAAAUUAGAGAUAUUUAUGGUCUCCUAUAUACCAGGUCAUAGGAUGAGUGUUUUUUAGGCUUUCAACGUUCAUUUCAUAUGACACUAUAUCAGGGUUUGUUCUUGAAUGUAGGAGAUGUACUGAAGGGGAACAACUCGAUCUACAAGAUCAUCGAAAUAAGAUCAAUUAAAAUUAGAAUGCAUGAUUGGAUUAUGAGAACAAUAACAAAAGUUUGACGGAUUCCUAAGUUAAAAAAAAAUUAUAAUUUUUUUUCUCUCAGAUGAAGAUUAUAUAUGUGACACAUGAGGCUAAGCCACAUAGGAGAGAAAGGUAUGUUUUUAAAUAAAUAAAGCUUUUUAAGCAAUAGAAUAUUAUCAAAAUUAAAAUAAUAUGAAUACUAUAUUUUUGAAAAGCAAAUAAAGUUUCUUGAGUUGUAAUGAUAUCCUUUUAAGCAAAUAUAAUUGCUACAUUAUAUUUUUAAUUUCAAUACCAAUAUUUAUAUUCACUGAUUAAAACAUGCCACAUAUAAUAUAUUUUUUCAAUAUCAGAAAGAUAUUUAUAGUAUGAAUGAAAGGAUAAAUUUAACUGAAUAUGUAACAUGAUGAGCUAUAUCAUAACCAAUCUUCAAUUGAACUAAAACUUAAUCCUUACAGAAAUAGUUUGUGAUCAUCUUAAACUGGUCUAAAUAGAUUUAAUAUAUUCUAUUUUAGGUUAAACUGGCCUAGACAGUGCCUGACCCAGUCUGAUCCUUGACAAGUGGUUGUUGCCACAUAGUUCAGAGCUCAAAAACACAGCCACAAUUGCAUCAGGAAUCAAGUCCUCCAAGCUUUGCAGAAACAAUUGAAAAGGCAAAGGAUCAUAACUUCAUAUGGAUGAAAAUGCUUAUAAGCUUAAAUAGUACAGAAGCAAAAGCUUAGUGCGUCCAAUAUUUCUUAUACACAUUUACUCACUUAACCGGGCAAUACCUUAAAAGUAAGUGGGUGUGCCGUUCCUGCAUCUCCACCAAUCACUCAACUUUGGUUUCUAUAAAUUGAUAUUAGUACAUUAUCUUUACUUGGUCUACCAUCUUUGGUUAUCAUCUGCAGAUGGUUUUGACAACAAGCUUCUUCAUAGCGCUACUCUUUUCACCAUAGAAAUCGCAGUUGGAUCACCACCCCACUCUUCAAACGCAACCAACAAGUUUCCAGUUGGGUUCAGCCAAGCGCGAGGAACAUGAUACCUGAGAUUUGUGGUCAUUAAUCAGUCAUUUAUUCGAUUCUUUUGCAUGCUUUGACUGGAGUGGACAAAAAGGCAGGUGUUUCAUUACCAUUUUUGAGAAGGCUCCCCACAAUUAGUCUGGCAUUUCUUCUGGUUGUAUGUCCCUCUGUAAUCACACCAAUCACAAGAACCAUAUGCCUUAUAGGCAGGCCAGUAUCUGCCAAUGCUUUGUCCAUUGAUCCAUAUCUGACCUUUGCCCAUGCUACUCAUGUCUAAUGCCAAUGGCUCGUUCCCAGCUGGAGCAUUAAAGAAAGCCUGGAAGAUGACAAAGAUUGAGUGAGAAAAUAGUCUCAAGCAUGAGAGGAAAGAAGAUGGAACUUUAGGAUAACAUGUUUCUGUGUUGCAAGCAGUACCACUGACCUUGUACCAAGUCAAGGGCUGCCUUGUAGAUGCACCCCACCACUUAACUGAAGAACUGCCACUAAGUGUAUAGAUGCUCAGGGAUUCACCUCUCAGGCCGAUCUACACACACAAACAUGGAACUCAGUAACCAGUAAGCAAGUUUUAGUCAGAGAGUAAGCAGGUAGGAAGAGUUGAUUGGAACCUGGUAAAUCCAUUUCUGUGAUGAAAGGUUUCUCUUUCCUUCAUUGAGACCUUCCAGGGUCACUGGACCAAGAACACCAGCAUUCCGUGUAUCAAAGUGGGGGCCAAUAUUCUGAAACAGAUAAAGAACAGGAAUAUGGAGUCUAAACAUCCAUCUUGUGUGUGUAUAAUUGUAUAGGGUUAUCGGUAUGAUAUUUCAACUUUUGGAUCAAUGGCCAGGAAAUAAUAUUUCACAACAAAGAAUGUACUCACAGGAAGACCAACAGCGACACUUAGAAUCGAGAUUUUGUUGCUUCCUGCCCACAACUUCACAUUUCCUGUGAAUCUUACCUUUGGACUGCCAAAACUACCGUAGACAGUCCCUGCCAGAAGAAAAGAAAAGCAAAAAACAAAUCGGAACCUCACCAAAUGUUGAGCAUAUCGUCAAGACACAAUUCUUCACAAGGCAAAGCCACUCACCGGCCCGUUCUCCAUUGACGAAAACAUGCAUAGAAUGACCUGCCGACAUCACGGUCAGGAGAGGGUCUCGGCCAUUCUUCAAGAAUUGUUCGUUUGAGUCUAUGUUAACACUGAAGAGCGGAGAUCGUGAGUCAUCGAGUGAUAGAGGUCAUUGAUUCUGUCUCAAAUAGAGAAGCUGCAAAGGAACGUCUACUCACUAUGUAGUGUACCACAGGUAGUCUGUCCGAUCCCGCGUCAAGCUUAUCUGCUCCACCAAUCCAUCUUUUGAGAAUGAUUUAUCCCUCAGUGAGUGGGUAACCUCACUGAAGGACUCCCAAGAAAAUCCCCCAACCCAAGUCAUAAUAAUCUGCGACGUCGGAGCUCCUACCUGUGUUUAUCAUUAGCAACUUUCUGUUUAAGACAGUCAUGAAAAUUCAACCAUGAAAUAUACAUUUUCUUGAGCCGAGAAACAAAUAACUCAACGGAGAGGUUGUUGGAAUUAAACUUGUUCAAGUAUUAUUUAUUUUAUCAAAGAUAGAUUCAUUGCAUAGAGGGAGAUUCAUUAUAUCAAGAAAAAAAAAUGGAUUAAAAAUUUAUAGAAAGAUAAGUCAAAUUAAUUAUUGAUUUUUGAAAGGAUUUCUUGAAAGAGAAUGAUUCAUCUUGAAUACAAUUAAUGUAAUGCAUCUUUGAGGAGUAUAUAAACCCCGGGUCAUGAAAAAAAAUAAAGUUUCUGAAUUUGUAAAGAGUUUUCUUGAGAGAAAUAUAGAAGAUUGAAGCUUGUCCAACUCCUGAUAUCUCUAUCCCCUCUUCCUUUCAACAUCCACAAAGAUCAGUUUCAUGAAUACAGUAGUAGAAUGCAACCAUGAACAUUAAUCAUAAAAGAUUUCUCACCUUUGCAGUGUUGAACACUGCAGUUUUGCAGUCUGGAAGAAUGCUGACUGACCAAGCUGGAAUGUAAUAUUUCAUUCCAUUGAAAGUAACAGGCGCAUAAGAAUGUGGGUUGAAAUUAGAAAGGAAUGCGGCACAAGCACCUGACUUCGAUCUGAAUACAUGCGCCUGCAAGAAGUCGAACGUAGAAAAGUUCCAAAACGCAAAUCAUUGAAAAGAUUCUUGCAAAUUUUACAGCAAGAUAUGAGAAUUGAACCUCCUGAUAGUUUCCGAGUUUUGUCACUGUGGGAUCCGCAGAGACAAGAGCUGGUUCACACCAUUUGAUUGCUUUAUGCAGGUCUCUCAGAUGUCCCCAUUUCGGCUGCCUUAACAGACCUGAGAAAGAUUACAACAUGUUUAACGCCAGAUUGAGGGAAUGGUAAUACUUGGUAUCAAAAGAUUUGUAUUGCGUCAUCAGAUGCUUGACCAAAGAGAUUGCACAAUGUCUUCCUUGUCGAAGAGGAACAAGAUUUUGGCACCAAAAAGAAGACAUAGGAAAAGGAGAAGCAAUCUAAGUCGGAAUUGUAUUACUACAAAUCUUUCCUUAAUCUUGAAAAGAUCCCAAGUAUUUGACCUAAGUAAUUCUCUUGGUGGGCAAUCACACCUUUGUCAUCCUCCCACCCCCACGUAGGAGAAAAGCUGGACGAGACGAUCAAAAAUCACCUCUUUUUGGAAUUAUCACAAGCAUGCUAUGUGCGGUCGAUGAUCAAGUCAACUAUUCAAGCUUCGCCCCCCACCCCCCAUCAAAAGCAUGAACUCCAACAGGGGAAGAUCCAUGAGAAGUCAUAAGUUAGACUAAAACCAUAUCAUUACAACAUGAAAAUUGUUACGUAUGGCACAAUCAUACCGUAUUCAUCAAUUGGGGCAUCGUAGUCAUAGCUGGUCGCAAUAAAAGGACCACCAGCCGUCCUACCGAAGUUUGUUCCUCCAUGGUACUGCAGUUGACGUAAACAAGCAAAUUGGUUUACUUCAACAUGAUGUACAGCAAUCAGUAAUUAAUGAAACAACUGAGGUAGAACAUACAAUUUCUUACCAUAUAGUAGUUAACGAAGGAUCCACCCUUCUGUAUAAACCUUGCGACAGCAAAAGCCAAGUCCUGAACAGGCCUGUGAGGAACUGGACCCCCGAAACCAGUGAACCUAUUAACAUAGAAUACAUGGAAUAAAUUCACUAGAUCGAUUGAUUUCUUGUGAAAAUUUAUAUGAAUUCAAAUGUGAAGAAGUAGAGGUUACCAGCCAGUCCAAGCUUCAGUCCACAUAGUCGGUUUAUAAGGCUUGUUUGGUGAGAAGUAAUCACAGUAGAACCCAUUGCAGGCAUUGAUCUGUAAAGACAAAAUCCAAAAAUGAGGUCACAAUAAGUCAACCUAGCUGGUGCAACAUGCAAUUACAAAUCCUCUAAUUAGUGCAGCUGUAAUCUAAGUAGAAGAAAGUGAUGUUGAACGGGACAAGGUGGAGAAGGAACAUGAACUUGGGGUUCUUCCUGAUGUUCCAGAACAAGAAAACCGAAAGCUUGGACUUACCACUGGAUCAGGUGCAUCAUCUUGCUUGCACAUGACCCACGGCACACCGGUGUUGAGGCCCACUGCCAUUUGAGCAGCCCAGGUUACGUAGUUCUUGGCUGCAGCUCCGCCAAAUUUCUCCAUUGGACCAUAUUCAUUUUCAAUCUGCUCAAGUUAGACAAAGAGCAUGGAAGAGCAGAAAGCGAAUUAGAUGAGAUCUUUGGGAGCUGAUCAACUCGAUGACACAUAAAAGCUAACGAAUUGAUGAAAGCAAAGAAGGAAAGGAUUCGAUGAUACCUGAGAGAGGAUAAUGGGACCACCCUGUGAUUCGAAUAAUCGUUCAGACUUCAUCAUGGCGACAAUCUUCUCUGUGAACUUCGCCAUGGCCGCCUUUUACAUGAACAGACCAGUUAGCAAUUGCUCGGAUAGAGGAGUUCGAGUAUACACAUGUAAAGAGAAUUUCUUGUGGAUUCUUACCUUGAAAGGUUCAUUGUCGGUCCUGAAAUUGAUGCCAGGAACAUAUUUUAGCCAGACAGGAAAUCCCCUGUUUUACAAAGACAAGAUGAACAACAGAACAACGUCAUCAGAUUGCAUGAUUAGGCUUUUGAUUCCACAUAGAAGAAUUAAUCGAAGACCUCGUACCCAAAGUUCCAUUCGGCACAAACAUAAGGACCAAUCCGGAGAUGAACAUAGAGGCCGGCAUGCUUCACCAGCUUGAUGAAGCGAACCAGGUCGUAAUUACCACCAAAAUAAUACUGCCAAAGAUCAAGAAAAGCAACAAAUUGAGGCACACUGUGGGAUGGAGCAGUAGCGUUAGACGAGAGGGCUGGGAAUGUUUGGGUGAUCUCCGAACCUGGCCAGGGGACGGCUCGUGGCCGUUCCAGAACACGUAGGUCUGGAUAACAUCCAAGCCGCCAUCUUUAGCCUUCUGGAUAAGAUCCGGCCACAUCUGAAGACGAUCCAAUCGACAAAGUUCAGAUUUUGGCGCGGUAGAGUAACAGUGCACGAAUAGCUCACCAGAAAGGCAACAUUUUCCAGAGUUGGAAAUCUUACCUCCGGGGUGCUCCUGGGAUAGUGAAUGGAACCGGAGAUUAGAAUCCUCCUCUGCCCAUUGACGAUGAUAGCCUUGUGGUCGUAGGAAACGGAUGCAUCGACCGGAGUGGAAAGCCACAGAGACGACACCACCACCAACGCCACCGCCAGUAGCAGCAGCGUCGACAGUCCGAGGCUGCACCCAAGCGUCAUAAGCUCGAGGCUCAUGGUGGCCGGUCGGUCUUCGCUUCAGAGGAGUCUCCUUUCGUGUUCUGGCUGUAUAAUAUGUGAAUGAUGGAGAUUCGUGCGCGCUGUUCUUCCGUCUUUUCCUCCGCUAGAGAAGUUCUGAAGGAACUAUUGAGCAGUAGCGUUACCGUAACAAGCACACACCGAGGAAGAGAGAGGGAGAUCAAAGAGGCGGGAUGGAAGAGGACGGAUGCGGCGCGGGAGCCGUGGGUGCCUCUGCGGUUUAAAUACCGCAGGGGCGAAGACGAGCACAGGAUUGGCGCCGGAGUACGCGGGUCCCACAGCGCCAGCCAGUCAACGUUUUCUUCCGUUCCCCGUGAACAGCAGCAGCCAAAAAAUAGAAAAAGAAAACGUUGUUCGUUUGAUCAUUCCUUUGUGAUCAAUUAUGAUUCCAAUUCCUUUGGGCAGUUAAGAGAAACUUCGAUGGUUGGCAAUGGUUGGAAGAGUAAAAUCUAUUGUUAAAAAUUACUAUUUAAAGAAAAUUAGGAUAGGCAGGUUAUGUUGAACAUUAUUAGAAACUAACAAUGCUAAUUUUGUAAGAAAGCUUAUUGUAAUGAUAUUUUUUGUAUUGUCUAGUAUAUCAAUAUACAGACUUAACUUAGCUCAGGAUCAAUUUCUUUUCCAGGUUGAUAUUAGGGUAGUAAGCGGGUUUAUUAAUAUAUCUAUAAUAUAAUUUUAUUAUAAAAUUAAGAAUUACUCUGGAUAUAAUCUUUUUAUAUGGGUUACGAGCUCGGUCUCAGUAUCUUAUUUUUAGUUUGAAUAAAGAUUUAAAACGAGAGAAUUAUAAGUGUAUUAUCGAAUCUUUUCUUAUCUUGGAAAGUUUCAUUGGAAAUUUUUUUCCCCGUAGACAUAGGAAUUAUAUUCUUAAUAAUAUUAUAUUAUUGAAAUUUUGGGCUUAAAUUAAUUGAUCCUGUAUAAAAGAAAAGUCUCAAAGGGUGGUCACUUAAGAUCCAUCAAAAUGCUUAUAAGCUUAAACAGUGCAAAAGCAAAAGCUUAGCUCUUGCAAUUACGAGACCAACCAUUCUGUGUAAACAUGCUAUCCCAAUUGCUAAUAUUAUGUCCACACAUGGAAUCGAUAUAUGCAAAGUCCCACGUGCAGUAAGUAAUAUGUUGAGUGCAUCCAAUAUUUUCAAUGCACAUUUACUCACGUAACCAGGCAAUACCUUAAAGUAAGUGGGUGUGCAGUUCCUGCAUCUCCACCAAUCACUACUCCACGACUUUGGUUUGUAUAAAUUGACUUUAGUUCAUUUUCUUUACUUGGUCUACCAUCUGUGGUUAUCAUCUGCCGAUGGUUUUGACAGCAAGCUUCUUCAUAGUGCUACUCUUUUCACCAAAGAAAUCCCAGUUGGAUCACCACCCCACUCUUCAAACACAACCAACAAGUUUCCAGUUGGGUUCAGCCAAGCGCGAGGAACAUGAUACCUGAGAUUUGUGGUCAGUAAUCAGUCAUUUAUUCGAUUCUUUUGCAUGCUUUGACUGAAGUGGACAAAAAGGCAGGUGUUUCAUUACCAUUUUUGAGAAGGCUCCCCACAAUUAGUCUGGCAUUUCUUCUCGUUGUAUGUCCCUCUGUAAUCGCACCAAUCACAAGAACCAUAUGCCUUAUAGGCAGGCCAAUAUCUGCCAAUGCUUUGUCCAUUGAUCCAUAUCUGACCUUUGCCCAUGCUACUCAUGUCUAAUGCCAAUGGCUCGUUCCCAGCUGGAGCAUUAAAGAAAGCCUGGAAGAUGACAAAGAUUGAGUGAGAAAAUAGUCUCAAGCAUGAGAGGAAAGAAGAUGAACUUUAGGAUAACAUGUUUCUGUGUUGCAAGCGGUUCUGACCUUGUACCAAGUCAAGGGCUGCCUUGUAGAUGCACCCCCCCACUUAACUGAAGAACUGCCACUAAGUGUAUAGAUGCUCAGGGAUUCACCUCUAAGGCCGAUCUACACACACAAACAUGGAACUCAGUAACCAGUAAGCAAGUUUUAGUCAGAGAGUCAGCAGGUAGGAAGAGUUGAUUGGAACCUGGUAAAUCCAUUUCUGUGAUGAAAGGUCUCUCUUUCCUUCAUUGAGACCGUCCAGGGUCACUGGACCAAGAACACCAGCAUUCCAUGUCUCAAAGUGGUUGCCAAUAUUCUGAAACAGAUAAAGAACAGGAAUACGGAGUCUAAACAUCCAUCUUGUGUGUGUAUAAUUGUAUAGGGUUAUUGGUAUGAUAUUUCAACUUUUGGAUCAAUGGCCAGGAAAUAUUUCGCAACAAAGAAUGUACUCACAGGAAGACCAACAGCGACACUUAGAAUCGAGAUUUUGUUGCUUCCUGCCCACAACUUCACAUUUCCUGUGAAUCUUAUCUUUGGAUUGUCCAAACUACCAUAGACAGUCCCUGCCAGAAGAAAAGAUAAGCAAAAAACAAAUCGGAACCUCACCAAACGUCGAGCAUAUCAUCAAGAAACAAUUCUUCACAAGGCAAAGCCACUCACCGGCCAGUUCUCCAUUGAUGAAAACAUGCAUAGAAUGACCUGCCGACAUCACAGUUAGGAAAGGGUAUCGACCAUUCUUCAAGAAUUGCUCAUUUGAGUCUAUGUUAACACUGAAGAGUGGAGAUCGUGAGUCAUUGAGUGAUAGAGGUCAUUGAUUCUGUCUCAAAUAGAGAAGCUGCAAAGGAACGUCUACUCACUAUGUAGUGUACCACAGGUAGUCUGUCCGAUCCCAUGUCAUGCUUAUCUGCUCCACCAAUCCAUCUUUUGAGAAUGAUUUAUCCCUCAGUGAGUGGGUAUCCUCACUGAAGGACUCCCAAGAAAAUCCGCCAACCCAAGUCAUAUUAAUCUGCGACGUCGGAGCUCCUACCUGUGUUUAUCAUUAGCAUCUUUGUGUUUAAGACAGUCAUGAAAAUUCAACCAUGGAAGUCCUAUUCCAUCCAAGAAAAUUUGGAAUACAUAGCGAGAGAUACAUUUUCCUGAGCCAAGAAACAAACAACUCAACGGAGAGGUGAGUUUUAUGAGUAUAGGAAUAGAAUGCAACCGUGACCAUUAAUCAUCAAAGAUUUCUCACCUUUGCAGUGUUGAACACUGCGGUUUUGCAGUCUGGAAGAAUGCUGACGGACCAAGCUGGAAUAUGAUACUUCAUUCCGUUGAAAGUAACAGGUGCAUAAGAACGGGAGUUGAAAUUAGAAAGGAAUGCAGCACAAGCGCCUGACUUCGAUCUGUAUACAUGCGCCUGCAAGAAGUCGAACGUAGAAAAGUUCCAAAAUGCCAAAUCAUCGAAAAUAUUCUUGCAAAUUUUACAGCAAGAUAUAAGAAUUGAACCUCCUGAUAUUUUCCGAGAUUUGUCACUGUGGGAUCCCCAGAGACGAGAGCUGGUUCACACGAUUUGAUUGCUUUAUGCAGGUCUGUCAGAUGUCCCCAUUUCGGUUGCCUUAACAGACCUGAGAAAGAUUACAAUAUGUUUAUCACCAGAUAGAGGGAAUGGUAAUAGUCGGCAUCAAAUAGAUUUGUAUUGCAUCAUCAGAUGCUUGACCAAUGAGACUGCACAGUGUCUUCUUCGUAGAAGAGGAACAAGAUUUUAGCACCAAAAAGAAGACAUAGGAAAAGCAUAAGCAAACUGAGUGGGAACUGUAUUACCUCUAAUCUUCUCUUAAUCUUGAAAGAACCCAAGUAUUUGACCUAAAUAAUUCUUUGUGUGUGGUAGAUGAUCAAGCCAACCAUUCAUGCCCUUUUCCCCCACCCACGGACAAACUUCUAAACAAGAUGUUUGAUAUAAUGUUUAUGUAUGUUUGUAUCUUUUGACAUGUUCGCACAACAUAUAGAGGGACGAUCGAAUACUUAAUUACCCCAUUUCAGUUAGGUUUGGUGGUCGCUUUUGGCUUAUAAAUAAAAAUUAUAUUAUGUGGACACUUGCGAGAGAUAUUCGAUCUGUAUUGGACCAUUUUGACCCUUUGUUGUGCAACCAUUCAGAACUUGUAAAGUCAUGUUGAUAAUUUGCAUUGGUUAUGAGGUGUUUUUUGGAAUGUUUGUUUAUGGAUUCCGAGUGAGGCAUUUUCUCUAACUCGUUUUCUCUUUUGUAGGUCCUAAGAGACCAUGGGAGGUUUCGGAAAGACUGACCUUUACGGACGGACACACAAGGGUAUUGCACAACUUUGGCAAAGCCAACUAACCUCAUUUUAGUUAGGUUUGGUGGCCGUUUUAGGCUUAUAAAUAAAAAUUGUAUUAUGUGGACACUUGCGAGAGAUAUUCGGUCUGUAUUGGAUCAUUUUGACUCUUUGUUGUGCAACCGUUCAAAACUUGUAAAGUCUGUUGAUAAUUUGCAUUGGCUAUGAGGUGUUUUUUGGAAUGUUUGCUGAUGGAUUCUGAGUGAGGCGUUUUCUCUAACCCAUUUUCUCUUUUGUAGGUCUUAAGAGACCAUGAGAGGUUUUGGAGAGGCUGACUUUUGCGAACGGAUAUGCAAGAGUACCGCACGACUUAAACAAAACCAACUAAAUCCAUCAUCAAAAGCAUGACCUCCAACGGGGCGAAUUCAUAAGAAGUCACAAGUUAGACCAAAACCAUAUCAUUACAACGUGAAAAUUAUUACAAAUGUUAGAAAAAUGGCAUACCGUAUUCAUCGAUUGGGGCAUCAUAGUCAUAGCUGGUCGCAAUAAAAGGACCACCAGCCGUCCUACCGAAGUUGGUUCCUCCAUGGUACUGCAGUUGACGUAAACAUGCAAAUUCGUUUACUUCAACAUGAUGGACAGCAAUCAGUAAUUACUGAAACAACUGAGGUAGAACAUACAAUUUCUUACCAUAUAGUAGUUAACGAAGGAACCACCUUUCGCUAUAAACCUUGCGACAGCAAAAGCCAUGUCCUGAACAGGCCGGUGAGGAACUGGACCCCCGAAACCAGUGAACCUAUUAACAUAGAAUACAUAGAAUAAAUUCACUGGAUAGAUUAAUUUCUUGUGAAAAUUUAUAUGAAUUCAAAUGUGAAGAAGUAGCGGUUACCAGCCAGUCCAAGCUUCAGUCCACAUGGUCGGUUUAUAAGGCUUGUUUGGUGAGAAGUAAUCGCAGUAGAACCCAUUGCAGGCAUUGAUCUUUAAAGACAAAAGCCCAAAAAAAGAGAUCACAAUAAGUCACCCAAGCUGGUCUAACAUGCAACUACAAACCCUCUAAUUAGGGCAGCUGGAAUUUAAGUAGAUAAAAGUCAUGUUGGACUUGACAAGGUAGAGAAGGAACAUGAACUUGGGGUUCUUCCUGAUGUGGUAGAACAAGAAAACCGAAAGCUUGGACUUACCACUGGAUCAGGUGCAUCAUCUUGCUUGCACAUGACCCACGGCACACCGGUGUUGAGACCCACUGCCAUUUGAGCAGCCCAGCUUAGGUAGUUCUUGGCUGCAGCGCCGUCAUAGUACUCCUGUAUACUAUAUUCGUUUUCAAUCUGCUCAAGUUAGACAAAGAGCAUGGAAGAACAGAAAGCGAAUUAGAUGAGAUCUUUGGGAGCUGAUCAACUCGAUGACACAUAAAAGCUAACGAAUUGAUGAAAGCAAAGAAGGAAUGGAUUCGAUGAUACCUGAGAGAGGAUAAUGGGACCACCCUGUGAUUCAAAUAAUCCUUCAGACUUCAUCAUGGCGACAAUCUUCUCUGUGAACUUCGCCAUGGCCGCCUUUUACAUGAAUAGACCAAUUAGCAAUUGCUCGGUUAGAGGAGAUCGAGUAUAAACAUGUAAAGAGAAGUUCCUGUGGAUUCUUACCUUGAAAGGUCCAUUGUCGCUCCUGAAAGUGAUGCCAGGAACAUAUUUUAACCAGACAGGAAAUCCCCUGUUUUACAAAGACAAGAUGAACAACAGAACAGCAUCAUCAGAUUGCAUGAUUAGGCUUUUGAUUCCACAUAGAAGAAUUAAUUGAAGACCUCGACCUCGUACCCAAAGUUCCAUUCGGCACAAACAUAAGGACCAAUCCGGAGAUGAACAUAGAGGCCGGCCUGCUUCACCAGCUUGAUGAAGCGAACCAGGUCGUAAUUACCACCAAAAUAAUACUGCCAAAGAUCAAGAAAAGCAACAAAUUGAGGCACACUAUGGGAAGGAGCAGUAGCCUUAGACGAGAGGGCUGGGAAAGGUUGGGUGAUCUCCGAACCUGGCCAGGGGACGGCUCGUGGCCGUUCCAGAACACAUAGGUCUGGAUAACAUCCAAGCCGCCAUCUUUAGCCUUCUGGAUGAGAUCCGGCCACAUCUGGAGACGAUCCAAUCGACAAAGUUCAGGUUUUGACGCGGUAGAAUAACAGUGCACGAACAGCUCACCAAAAAGGCCACAUUUCCCACAGAAUUGGAGACCUUACCUCCGGGGUGCUCCUGGGAUAGUGAAUGGAACCGGAGAUUAGAAUCCUCCUCUGCCCAUUGACGAUGAUAGCCUUGUGGUCGUAGGAAACGGAGGCAUCGACCGGAGAGGAAUGCCACGGAGACGACACCACCACCAACGCCACCGCCAGUAGCAGCAGCGUCGACAGUCCGCGGCCGCACCCAAGCGUUAUAAGCUCGAGGCUCAUGGUGGCCGGUCGGUCUUACCUUCAGAGGAGUCUCCUUUAGUGUUCUGGAUGUAUAAUAUGUGAAUGAUGGAGAUUCGUGCGCGCUGUUCUUCCGUCUUCUCCUCCGCUAGAGAAGUUCCGACGGAACUAUUGAGCAGUAGCGUUACUGCAACAAGCACACACCGAGGAAGAGAGAGGGAGAUCAAAGAGGAGGGAGGGAAGAGGGCGGACGUGGAGUGGGAGCGCGGGGGCGGGGAGGACGGGGGAGGGCGAUGUGCCUCUUGCGGUAUAAAUACCCGACGGGCGCAAGCGAGCACAGGAUUGGCGCUGGAAUACGCGGGUCCCAAAGCGCCAGCCACGUCAACGUUUUCUUCCAUUCCCCCUGAACAGGAAAAAAUCAAAUGGACCGAAGCGUGGGGCCAUCUGCUUGUAAGAAAGUGGACCAAUUAAGAUAAAGCUUUGAUAGUUGGCAAGGAUCGACAGAGUCAAAAUAUUUUGUUAAAAUUAUUAUUUGAGAAAAUUAGGACAGAUAGGUUAUGUGGAAUAAUAUUAGAAACUAAUAAUAUUAGUUUAGUUUUGUAAGAAAAUUUUAUGUUGAUGAUAUUUUUUAGUUGUCUAAUAUAUCGAUAUACAUUAUGAUAGUAAGCGAGUUAGAUAACAUAUCCAUAACCAUGAUAUAAAUAUUUUUUUAUAAAAUUACAUAUACAUGAUAUACCUAAAGGGUUUGAUGAGAUAUAUCAUAUUAUUAUUUUAUUAUGUGAAUAACAAUUUUUUUAUAUGUUAAUUUAGUUUCACAUAAGAAAUGUAUAAAGAUUUAGAUAAGAGUAUGAUAAUUGUACCAUUCUUAUCGUGAGUUUAGAGGGAUUUAACUCAAAGUAUCUCUCUCAGACGAAGAUUAUAUAUGUGGCAGAUAAGGCUAAGCCAGAUAGGAGAGAAAGGUAUGUUUUUAAAUAAAUAAAGCUUUUUAAGCAAUGGAAUAUUGUCAAAAUUAAAAUAAUAUGAAUACUAUAUUUUUGAAAAGCAAAUAAAGUUUCUUGAGUUGUAAUGAUAUCCAUUUUAAGCAAAUAUAAUUGCUGCAUUAUAUUUUUAAUGUCGAUGCCAAUAUUUAUAGUCACUGAUUAAAACAUGCCACAUAUAAUAUUUUCUUUCAAUACCAGAAAGAUAUUUAUAGUAUGAAUGAAAGGAUAAAUUUAGCUGAAUAUGGAACAUGAUGAACCAUAUCAUAACCAAUCCUCAAUUGAACUAAAACUUAAUCCUUACAGAAAUAGUUUGUAAUCAUCCUAAACUGGUCUAAAUAGAUUUCUAUUUUAGAUUAAACUGGCCUAGACAGUGCCUGACCCAGUCUGAUCCUUGAUAAGUGGUCAAGCCAAGCUACUGAAAUGUUGACCUCUGUGUUUGUAACUCAUGAUGAAAUUCUAAGUGACAUUAACAGUUUCUUCUUUAUAGUUGAUAAAUCAUUGUCAUCUCUUUCUAAAAAUAAAAAUAAAAAAAGCUGGGAAUAAAAAUAUCUAUAACAAUGCCUUUUUCCUGGCACCAGAUUGUAUCUUUACCACUAAUUUCUUGUUUCUUGCACUGUUGCACAUGAUCAUCAUGCAUCUUGUUAGACAUCUCAAGUGGUUGCCACAUAGUUCAGAGCUCAGAAGCACAGCCACACAAUUGCAUCAGGAAUCAAAAUGCUUAUAAGCUUUGCAGAAGCAAUGGAAAAGGCAAAGGAUGAUAACUUAAUAUGGAUCAAAAUGCUUAUAAGCUUAAGUAGUACAGAAGCAAAAGCUUAGCUCUUGCAAUUACAAGACCGACCAACCAUUUUGUGUAAACAUGCUAUCCCAAUUGCUAAUAUUAUGUCCACACAUGGACUCAAUAUAUGCAGAAUCCCACGUGCAGUAAGUAAUAUGUUGAGUGCAUCCAAUAUUUUCUAUGCACAUUUACUCACGUAACCAGGCAAUACCUUAAAGUGGGUGUGCAGUUCCUGCAUCUCCACCAAUCACUACUCCACGACUUUGGUUUGUAUAAAUUGACUUUAGUUCAUUUUCUUUACUUGGUCUACCAUCUGUGGUUAUCAUCUGCAGAUGGUUUUGACAGCAAGCUUCUUCAUAGUGCUACUCUUUUCACCAUUGAAAUCCCAGUUGGAUCACCACCCCACUCUUCAAACACAACCAACAAGUUUCCAGUUGGGUUCAGCCAAGCGCGAGGAACAUGAUACCUGAGAUUUGAGGUCAGUAAUCAGUCAUUUAUUCGAUUUUUUCGCAAGCUUAAUGGGGUGGAAAAAAAGGCAGGUGUUUCAUUACCAUUUUUGAGAAGGCUCCCCACAAUUAGUCUGGCAUUUCUUCUCGUUGUAUGUCCCUCUGUAAUCGCACCAAUCACAAGAACCAUAUGCCUUAUAGGCAGGCCAGUAUCUGCCAAUGCUUUGUCCAUUGAUCCAUAUCUGACCUUUGCCCAUGCUACUCAUGUCUAAUGCCAAUGGCUC